AUCCCAUCCACACAGCACUACUUCAUUUAUCCCACAAACACGCACGGAAAGCUUUGUCGUUAGUGCUGUGCUCACCGCACACAAAGAUGGACCAGACAGGUCCACCCGGUUGCUCUCCGGAAGCCGAUCUGGAAGCAGGGAGUAGGUCUCCCGGUUUGGGGAAGGUUGCGUGAAUCCAGCCCGAGAGGAACAGAUGGUGGUGAGAAUGAGUUGGAUCAGCCAACCUGAAAUAACGAGGGAGAACAUUCAGAGGGGACAGACCCGAGGAGUGUGGUGUCAUGAAAGCCAAGGGAAGAAGAAGGGCUUUCAGGAAGAAGGUAUUUAGUAAGGUAAAGAGUGGAAUAGUGUCCGUGGAUUCCCGCAAACAGGGAGUAACUAGUUACGUGAUGGCAACGGAUAUGGAGUGUGGGACGCACACCAGGCAAGGGGGGAAUGGAAAAACGGAGAUAAUGGGGGGCUACCAGCUUGGUGUCCUUGGUCAGUUAGCUGUGCGUCAGGCAUGGUAGGGUGAAAUGCUACAGUGCCUCUGGAUCUGAGGCAAAGUCCUGCCAGCAAGGGGACUUCCUUGACCUUGAUCCUGACUCCCUGCUCUCCCGGCAAGCCAACAACAAUGGGAAUCUUGGGGAGCUGAUGCAUAUCCUCAACACCUGUGUUCUUGACUUGAGGGGAUGGGGGACGGGAAUGAAUAUGCAGGGUCAGCAUCUGCUGCAGAGAAAUAGCUCAGGUACCUUCUGUCACCUUCUGGGGUUUGGUUUCUGGAGCCAGUGGCAAGAGGGAGGAGCCGGGGCUCUGGUCUCAGGUCUGUGGGAGACUGGCGUGCGACCUUGGCAAGCCAGUGCUUCCCACCUCUGGAGUUCCUAAUCUGUCAGAGGGAGUCUUCCUCGCGAGAUAAUUCUGGAAUGCAUUUCCUCAUUGGAGGUGUGUUUGUUUUUGCAAGGAAGUCCCUACCAGAAAAGGUUGUGAUGAUCCUUAGGACAAAAAGACGCAUCUGCAAGCCAAGGACCACACAACUAUUGUCCCAUUUAUUCUCCAAACAACGAUAUGGUCCGGGUACUGUUAAUCCCAUGGAGCAGAUGCUAAUGCGUAGGUUUCGGAGGGUGAUGACCUCCUUGAGAGGGAGGGUGUGCGUUUGUACCAGGCAGCAGUGAGGAAUCAUAAAUUUAAAUCAUCACUGCCUGCUCCCCUGCAAAGGGAGUCCUUUGAGCAGGCCAAGGCCUGAAAAGAGCCAUAGAUACUCUCCUGUAUCUGAAAUCCGAAAUUUUGAGAAAACCCCAAAUCCUUAGUGGAUAUUGGGAGACAUCCAUUCUUUGGGAUCUCAGCACCUUACCUGGGUUAUCUUCCAUUUCUCGCCACGGUCCCCACCCCUCACCCCCUGUGUCUCUGCUGUGCCUCACGACUCCCCUCCACACUGCUUCUCCUGCGGGUCACACCUUUGCAUUAUUUCCUGGGCCGGGGAGACCCUUUCCUCACGAUGCAGGCUGACAUUCUGGGCAUCCUUCAAGGCUCCUGAAACUUUCUUGACCUCCCAACAGCUGUAAAGUCUCCCUCCUUGCGGAUCUUUGUUGUAUCUCCUACGCCUCUCGGGAUGUUACUCUUUCUCGGCCUUGAAUUCAAGUUGUCUGUUUACCCCCUUCCUGUUGGAACAGUUGGCCUUUGAGUUUCAUGCAAACUAAGCAUGACCAGAGUUGGCGCAUGGCAGAAGCUCGGGGUGGCUUGUUGGCUGGAAAACCCUCCAUCCUCACCUGGGUUUGGUUUGCCCACACAGGCCUCCACUGGGUCCCUGAUCUUUGGAGUCUGCAUGAGUGUCAUGCUGGGUGCAGGGUUACCUACACCCUACCCAGAGAAUAAGGUGUUUCCCUGACUCGAGCUUGGGAAAAGCACCCCAUUACGUGGCCACCUGUUUCUUCUGGAGGCCCCUAUCAGGCAGCGGUUAUACUGGCCCGCUACGUCCGCACAGUUUGGAGAGCUUCUAAUGUGCAGCCCAGACCCAUACUUGUCACCUCAGCUCCAUGGUGAGGAGAACACUAGGUCCAUUAUCCCCAGGUCCCCAUUUUCCAGAUGAGGAAACAGGUUCAACCACGUUAAGCUGAUGUACCUGGGACUUCAUGGCUUUGGUUGGAGGACUGCUGAGUCUUCAGGUUUCCGGUCCAGUGACUCCGAAGGAUAAGAAGAAAUGACCAAGACAUAUGCAGACCAGGACAUGGCAAGUGGUGAAAAGGUGCCCAGAAAUAGUGGGGAGAGAAGGAGGAAUCCGAGGAGGAGAA